rnacentral:tRNA from 1 species
CGUCCAUGGUGGCCGAGACACCUAGGCACCGAGCUUUUAACCCGGUCACAGUUAUAUAUACUCCAGGACA